CCUACGGGUGGCAGCAGUAGGGAAUAUUGCUCAAUGGGGGAAACCCUGAAGCAGCAACGCCGCGUGGAGGAUGAAGGUUUUCGGAUUGGAAACCCCUUUUGGUAGAGAAGAUAAUGACGGUAUCUAACGAAUAAGCACCGUCUAUAUCCGUGACAGCAGCCGCGGUAAUACGGAGGGUGCAAGCGUUACUCGGAAUCACUGGGCGUAAAGAGGGUGUAGGCGGGAUAGCAGGUCAGAUGUGAAAGCGUAUGGCUUAAACAUAGAGCUGCAUUUGAAACUGUUAUUCUAGAGUAUGGGAGAGGUAGGUGGAAUUCUUGGUGUAGGGGUAAAAUCCGUAGAUAUCAAGAGGAAUACUCAUUGCGAAGGCGACCUGCUGGCACCUAACUGACGCUGAUGCGCGAAAGCGUGGGGAGCAAACAGGAUUAGAUACCCGGGUAGUC
rnacentral:rRNA from 1 species